CACGUAGGGUGCGAGCGUUUGUCCGGAAUUAUUGGGCGUAAAGAGCUCGUAGGCGGUGUGUCGCGUCGGCCGUGAAAACCUGCAGCUUAACUGUGGGCUUGCGGUCGAUACGGGCAUCACUGGAGUUCGGCAGGGGAGACUGGAAUUCCUGGUGUAGCGGUGAAAUGCGCAGAUAUCAGGAGGAACACCGGUGGCGAAGGCGGGUCUCUGGGCCGAUACUGACGCUGGAGGAG
rnacentral:rRNA from 1 species